CGUGAGCACCACAUCCCGGCCUGGUUCCUGGACCAUCCUCCAUGUCUCACUUUUGAAUCAGAUAUCACCACCUGCUUCUCGGGAAGCCUGUCAGACAUCCAGACCUCUGCCCAGUGCAGAAAGGAUAUCUACCCCAGGACAGAGGCUCUGCUGGACAGCAGGAGUGAAGGAGGGUCACCCUUCCCAACUUCAGCUUCUAUAGCGAGAUGGGCUCUUCAUCUAAGCACCAGUUCAAAAAGCUGCAGGGAAGAAGUCUGACUGGCUCAGCUUGGAUUGAGGUCUGUCCCUGGAGUAGUCAGCUCUGGCCAGAGGAGGGACUUUCACAAUGACUGGCCCCCACAGGACCCCCAUGGAAAGAGAGGGGAAGGAGCAGUUUAUGAGAAGAAUGGAGCGGGGCAUCUCUCUGGAAGUUUAGAGG